AUGGAUUUUGAUCUCUACCUAGUCAACAUAAAACUUGAUAAGACUUUCCCAAUUUAUAGCCUCAUAAAUACUACGGAAAGGUUAUUCAAAUACCUCCAGGUUGGACUGUUUUUGAAGGAUGCUCUCAAUGAACGGGAUGAGGACUCGGAUCUGAAUUCCGUUUUGCACCUCCAGGACGGUAAUUUUCAAUUUCUCAUUGAAUUCUUUGGAUUGAUUACAACAAUCUACCAUCAUCUGCACGCAGAAGGCAACAAAGUCUCUCUCGUCCUGUAAAAGAAGAAGAUCGGCUUGAAAUUGUAUGCUAAUUUAUUUUCUCCACAGAAGCUUCUGAACAAUUAUUUGAUUCCACAUCUAUUAAGGGGAUGUCACAUUGAUCCGAGUGUGACCAAAAAAUUUUCGAUACAAAACUAUUAAAUUUCUACUUUGUUUUUAUCGCAAAUGGGCCCUAGAAUUUCCAAACAUAAACGAAAAAAUGCCAACAAAGGUUGCUUGCUGAACUGAGAUAAUAACACUCUUAUAUGUCAGUGCUGCGAUGCUGCAAUGGCUUGGAGUAAUGCGCUCCAGCUGAGAGGUCUGUGGUUCAAUGCCGAGCAAUUUUAAUAAUUUGUAUUCUUUUUGCUUACUUUUUUAUCUUUCUCUUUGCUCUUAUCCAACUGUGUACGCAACUUACUAUCUUUAAUGUUUAAUAUUCAUUUGCUAUCAGUGAUUAGUAUUACAGCUAAUGAUAGCUUAAAAGUAAUUUCAUUAUUUAUAUUUUAAUAUUAUUUUCUCCUUUUGUUCAUGCAUUCUUUUUGUAGAUGUAAUGUGUUGAGGGCUCUUACCUUUAGGUUCAAGUUAUCUGCUGGCAUGAACUGUUGAGAUUCAAGCUUGAGUAUUGAAGGAUACGGUGCAAUAUCCAACGAAGUUGCUUUUGCUCCAUUGAUAAAGAUUCCUUCACAUUUUAGAGUGUUGCUGAUUAAAUGAUAGACUGUGUUGAAAUCUGUUCAUAAAAAGACAAAUUUAUGAUUUAGUAACUUUUAUGUCAGGAAAAUAAUGCUCAAUUGAAUUAAAGAGUUCGAAAACGUACCAACACAGGUUUUUUAGAUUCCCCUUUUUUUUCGGUUUAGUAACACUUUGGAUCAACGCAUCUGCACGCAAAGGGAAAUUUUGAAACUGCAAUCAGAAGUGCUCGAAACAGCGAC
rnacentral:lncRNA from 1 species